rnacentral:tRNA from 1 species
GUUAUUAUAGCAUAAGAAGUGUAUUUGUUUUAAGCGCAAAAGAUAUAGAAUAGCU